rnacentral:piRNA from 1 species
UAGGUGUGCCCAGGAUAUACUGGAGUGA